rnacentral:rRNA from 1 species
AACGAACGCUGGCGGCAUGCCUAACACAUGCAAGUCGAACGAGAUCUUCGGGUCUAGUGGCGCACGGGUGCGUAACGCGUGGGAAUCUGCCCUUUGGUUCGGAAUAACAGUUGGAAACGACUGCUAAUACCGGAUGAUGACGAAAGUCCAAAGAUUUAUCGCCAGAGGAUGAGCCCGCGUAGGAUUAGUUAGUUGGUGUGGUAAAGGCGCACCAAGGCGACGAUCCUUAGCUGGUCUGAGAGGAUGAUCAGCCACACUGGGACUGAGACACGGCCCAGACUCCUACGGGAGGCAGCAGUGGGGAAUAUUGGACAAUGGGCGAAAGCCUGAUCCAGCAAUGCCGCGUAAGUGAUGAAGGCCUUAGGGUUGUAAAGCUCUUUUACCCGGGAUGAUAAUGACAGUACCGGGAGAAUAAGCUCCGGCUAACUCCGUGCCAGCCGCCGCAGUAACAC